rnacentral:rRNA from 1 species
AACGUAGGAGACAAACGUUAUCCGGAGUUACUGGGCGUAAAGGGCGUGUAGGUGGUUUUGUAAGUCUGGCGUGAAAAUUUUCGGCUUAACCGGGAAAGGUCGUCGGAUACUGCAGGACUAGAGGACGGUAGAGGCGUGUGGAAUUCCGGGUGUAGUGGUGAAAUGCGUAGAGAUCCGGAGGAACACCAGUGGCGAAGGCGACACGCUGGGCCGUACCUGACACUGAUGCGCGACAGCAUGGGGAGCAAACAGG